rnacentral:rRNA from 1 species
UUAUUGGAGAGUUUGAUCCUGGCUCAGGACGAACGCUGGCGGCGUGCCUAACACAUGCAAGUCGAACGGAGUUGCCUUUAGCACUGAGUGCUCUCAAGAAACGGCGCCGAGCGUCAUGCAAAAACAACCUUGAGCUCAAUCCAAAAGAGUUUUUGCAUCACGCGUAUAAAAAGUGCCAACCCAUCUGAAAGAUGAGGGAGAGGAGAGUGUUCAGUGCUGGAGGCAACUCAGUGGCGGACGGGUGAGUAACGCGUGGGCAACCUGCCUUGGACAGGGGGAUAACACUGGGAAACUAGUGCUAAUACCGCAUAACACAGGGGAGUGGCAUCACUUUUCUGUCAAAGGAGGAAUCCGGUCCAAGAUGGGCCCGCGUCCGAUUAGCUGGUUGGCGGUGUAACGGACCACCAAGGCGACGAUCGGUAGCCGAACUGAGAGGUUGAACGGCCACAUUG